rnacentral:rRNA from 1 species
GAUGAACGCUAGCGGCAGGCCUAAUAUAUGCAAGUCGAACGGUGUAGCAAUACACAGUGGCGCACGGGUGCGUAACACGUAUGCAACCUACCUUACAUUGGGGGAUAGCCUUUCGAAAGGGAGAUUAAUACCGCAUAAGACAGUAACUAGGCAUCUAGUAGCUGUUAAAGAUUUAUCGAUGUAAGCUGGGCAUGCGUCCAAUUAGUUAGUUGGCGAGGUAAUGGCUCACCAAGACGAUGAUUGGUAGGGGAACUGAGAGGUCAAUCCCCCACACUGGCACUGAGAUACGGGCCAGACUCCGACGGGAGGCAGCAGUAGGGAAUAUUGGGCAAUGGGCGCAAGCCUGACCCAGCCAUGCCGCGUGCAGGAAGAAGGCGUUAUGCGUUGUAAACUGCUUUUAUACAGGAAGAAACGACCCUUGCGAGGGGCAUUGACGGUACUGUAUGAAUAAGCACCGGCUAACUACGUGCCAGCAGCCGCAGUAAGAC